CACGCCUCCUGCUCUCUCUGAACCCCGCCUCCGAAGGGAAGCAACAGGGCAGCAGGGAUGGUUGACGCGUCAAGCGCCAUCUUUCACGUGGGCGGAAGAAGUUGCUGCUUAAUUUUCGUUUCCUCGUGGGACACCGUAGAAAUGUCUUCUGUGCUGCUUUGGAGCUGGAGUUGAGGUCUUGUUGAUUACCUCCCAUUUACCAGGAUUACAGCAAAUUAGAUUUAACUGUGACUGGCAUGCGAACUAUCUGAGGUCGGACAUGGAUGAGGAAUAUUGCUAUAUAAACCACAGCAGGCUAUACACAUUUGCUGUUGAGAUCGACCACCUCAAUGCCUAACGGUGUUACAAACAUGUGGUGGGCCCUCAUGGGAUGGAGGAAAGUGCACUGGAUUUGUAAUGCCACCUCUGUGUAUUAUUCCACAUAAGGUGUAUGUUGCUGACUCAAUGAGUAAAUGAGUACAAGCCAGAGGUGUCCAUCUCCAAAACUCAUGCAGAGUAAGAGGGUAUCUGUGUCCUUUACAUCCAGGAAUUCGAGGAUUCAGGAGCUUGAAAUACCCGGUUGCCUACACUGUCACAAGAGCUGUUCAGCUGUCUGCCUGCUCGUACUGUUGGCCUGUAACUUAUUCUCCACUCAGUGGUCCAAAUGCGAUUUGGGAAAUGAGAGUUUCAGAGUUGGGGGCAGCGUGGCAGAGUUUCCACUGAAGAUGGAUUUUGGAAUUGGCAUCAGGUGAAAAUCCUAUGAAACAAGAGAGGGCCCACCUCUAGGACGUGGGGGAAGAUGAAUGAGCUCAAGUUCCAGAAGACUCCGUGUUGGAAAGAGCUUCCAUAUAUUGAAACCCACCCUGCAUUAAUUCCAGCAAACUUCUUAUUCAGUGCCAUGGAAGGAUCUUGAGACCACUGACGCAGAGGCAAUCGACCCUACAGGUGCUGCUAAGAUGGAAGAGCUCAUAUAAAUCAAGAUGGUGGAGCUGACUGGGUAGUCACUUUGCAUCGCACAUUUGUUCUGGGCAGCAUGAAUUCAUUUCCAGGAGGAUGUUUGAUAUACACUGAGGCUUAAGAAACUCCGGAUGCCACGAACAAGGCCUGGAGUACUGGAACCGUCUUCACCCUGAUCACUGCGUCCCGACCCGCAAUGUAUUCGUGGGCAGAGGGGUAUACUCAACACAUUCACAUCUCCGUUCGCGGAUCAUCUAUUUUAGUCAUGGCUGGCAUUAUAUCAUCAACCCACCUGCUUCUAGAAGAGAGAAAAAAAAUCAGAAUCACUCGACCGGCAGAGUGCUGUCAGCUUGUGAUUAUGUGAAUGAAAGCCUCAAGACAUAUUACAUGUUGCCGAAGGGCUUCUGAGCACAGUCCCUGAAGUUAAAUCAAAUGUCUUGACCCAGAGAUGAAGAGAGAACCUAGAAGGAUCCUGAGCUGCUUAACAUCACGUGAUGCCUGGAUCCCCUGGUUUGUGUUGGCGUCUGAGAAGAACUCUCUUUUAUCCACAGAGCUUUUGCACAUCUGAAUUCUUGAUCUUCGCUACAAGGUACAACUAGGGGCAUACAACCUUCCGGAGAAACCGAGGGCUUUGUUACAGUAAACUGGUCCAGUGUGAUAUCACAAGUAUAAAAAAUAUUCCAUUCUGUAUCAAAACUAGGCACAUGCCUUUAUUUGUAGUAACAGAAGUUAACAGAGUUGAGCAGUUUUGCCUUGGGCCCUAUUUCUUGGCAUCCUACAUCAGACAAACGCAUCAUCCCGCAUCUCUCCGCCCAUAACUCCAGGGAUCUAGUCUCAGGGUCAUCGCUGUGGAAAGAAAGGUGAAAUCACACUUGGAUCUAUCGUGGAUGGAAAUGGAAACUUUGAAUAUGGAGAGUCAACUUGAAAAGCAUUCAAGGAGGAAAUGAAAAGAGCCAACAUGAAAGCUGGAUUUGGAGAGGAUCCAUGGUGUUUUAUAUUAUGACUAUUUUUUAAACAAAAAUCACAGAUGUAACGAUUAAAUCACUCAGUGUCCCAUGCAGGUAGAGUUAGAAAAAGCUAUGAAACAUGUGCCUCACUUGGCAGUUAAAAAAAGAGAAGAUUGCCUGUCUUUCUGCCGUGAUUUCUCAGUCCUCAAGAUCCACUCAGGCCAAUGUCAGUGAAAUGUGUGACCACAGAGGACCACUACUUUUCUUCCACCAACAGACGAAAGGAGACGUCUCCAUGUGUGGAUCGAUGGAAGAUGUUAUUACGGCUUGUAUCAGCUGGAAAGCCUUGCUUUGUGAUCGGACUGUGAGAUAAGAGCCAUGGGUUCUAAUGUAGCCCUGCCACUAACUGGAGAACUGGCUCACCUCUGCAAUGCCAGAAAAAUCUGGAAGAGUAUUCUACUGUGAUCCUCUGAUAUUCAUGACAACAAUGAAAUGAAAUAUUUCCUGGUUAUAAUACGUGAAAAACUUCUGUUAUCACAUAUUAAAGGACAAAGGCUUACAAAGGAAGAAAAAAACAAAACUAAAGCCAACUCUUUCUCAGAUUUAAGAAACCAAACCCUUACUACACAUGAGAACUGAUGAAAACCAGUGUUGUUUUAUGUCCAUAAGAAUGUGGCUCCUCAAAGGAGAAAUCCCAUUUCAGGUUGGCAGUCGUCAUCACUCACUAAUUAAGGAUGCUGGGUUCCAGUUCCAUCCUGUGUUGCCAUAAGAAAGCGACAGAGCUUGGCAUGCAUCCUGCCUAUUUCCACCGUCAGCUGUUUGGAGUGCUUCAGCUUCUGCACUGGGGGGCGAGAAGUUUGUCUUGAUACUGAAAGGCAAAGGUGCGAAGGAGGAUUCCUGUGUAGUCAGAAGGAGCAAAAUAAUAAGUAGUCAUGAAGCCAGUUGAAAGAACGGGAAGAGAAAGGCCUGACUCCAGCUCUAAAUUCCUCAAACCUGCAGGAUGCCAAGUGCCUUAUUAUGCCAUCACUCACUCAUUUCCCUGGAACUGGACGAGCAAGAAAGUUUUAUUAAUAAUCCAUUUUGCAGGUUAAAUCUGAGGCCCUCCAAGGGAACAGCCUUUCCAGAAAGACCUCGCAGGGCACAGCCAUUAGAGGCACACUGUUCCGGAUGCUGGCCAUCCGGUGUUGCACGUUAUUUUGUUUGCUUCUAAGUUCAAGAGACAGAAUGUAUUGCCAUUGCCUUUAAAGAAAAUAUCUUCAGUGUUUUGACCACCAUUGACAAGAUGGUUAGCAUGCCUUUAGCCAUCUUUAUGAAACAACAGAUGUUGCCUUGGCAUUUUUCCAGCCCUCCCUGUGUCCUCAAGCCUAAUAUUUGUUUUUCAUUAGUUGGUGUGUUGCUCAUUUCUCAUCCUGUGUGAGGGGGCUGCUUCUUGGCCUUGCCGUGCAGUUGCUUUGCUUUCAGAUAGAAGAGGUUGGCCUACUUGGGCUGAGUGAAGAUAUUCCCUUAGCCCUGGCGCGUGUCCUCUGUGAAGAGGCUUUGGCAGCUGGGGGAGAUAAGAAGGCAAAAGGAGAAGUGUUCCUAAGUGGUGUUUUCUUGAUGAGGACUCCGUGUUCAUGUUUAGCUUCUAAUGUGACAUAAUGAAUUAUGAACUAAAAGUAAUUGGAAGAUUUGUGGCCUCAGUGCAGAAGUUUAAUGUAUGAAAGGAAGCCACAGGUCAAUUAGGCGAGUUGAUCAAUAUUUAUAUCGCUCUUUAAUGAAAGGAAAUAACCCUGAUAGAUUUUCCUUGAAAUUGCUGAUGAGUAUGCAU